GGCUCUUCUUCUUCCUUUCCUCUUUCUUCCCUUUCUUUCCUACAUCUAAUUCCCCAAAUUCUACAUCAAAAACCUAGGAAUUGGAUUUAAGACUCUCGUCUUCGGAUGAGACUUUCUCUCUCUAUAUCUAUAUCUGUAUCCACACACACCAGAGCUUCAGUUUAGGCACCAAAACCAACGUAAACAUAAAAAAACACAACCCCAAAACAACAAAUCCCAUGUUCUCUAGAAUCUUGUAAAAAAAAAA
rnacentral:lncRNA from 1 species